rnacentral:rRNA from 1 species
UACGGAGGGGGCUAGCGUUGUUCGGAAUUACUGGGCGUAAAGCGCGCGUAGGCGGCCCGGAAAGUCGGAUGUGAAAACCUGGGGCUCAACCCCAGGCGUGCACCCGAUACUCCCGGGCUGGAGGCAGGUAGGGGAGAUCGGAAUUCCUGGUGUAGCGGUGAAAUGCGCAGAUAUCGGGAAGAACACCCGUGGCUAAGGCGGCUACUCUCAGU